CAAGGGGGUAUAGCAGCACUUCACGUUUUGAACCAUUUAGAGCACUUCAAAACAUGAAUUGCUGCUGUAUCCCCUUGGAGUCAA
rnacentral:pre_miRNA from 1 species